GAUGCUUCAAAUGUGUAAUAAAGGGCUGUUCGCAGGAGUUGGGCUGUCUGGCCUUAAAUUGCAUUGUUUUUAUGAUAUUUUAAGAUUGUAUUUAUGUGGCUGAACCAUCUUGCCAUUGCCACAAUGUCUGAUGUUCAAACAGGCUUUAAAAUCAGGUUACAAUGCAUGCUUGAAAAUGUGCAACAAUUUCACUGCUAAUAAUA